rnacentral:rRNA from 1 species
UCGGCAACGGAUAUCUCGGCUCUCCCAUCGAUGAAGAACGUAGCGAAAUGCGAUACUUGGUGUGAAUUGCAGAAUCCCGUGAACCAUCAAGUCUUUUAACGCAAGUUGCGCCCGAAGACGCUAGGCCGAGGGCACGCCUGCCUGGGGGUCACGCGCCGUUGCCCCC